rnacentral:lncRNA from 1 species
UUUCCAUUGAAAUUAUCUUCCAUUCCAUUCAUAAUUGGAUUACGAAAUUCCUUCGUUAUCAGUCCUACAUUUUGUUUGAGUGAUCUCUUUCAUCUAUCGUCCGCAUCUGACAGUGUUUUUGUUCUUCUUCGACAUGUCUUGGAGGUGUUGUGUUUCCGGUUGUGGUUCCGAAGGAGUACCUUUAUUUCAUAUUCCAAAAUUUAAUGAAAGUUUAAAAACUGCUUUGCAAGAAAAAAAAGGGUCGUAGAAUUGUUUGGCUUCAAAAGCUUAACGUGAAGGAAUGUGACUUAAACAACAACACUCGUGUUUGCUCUCGUCAUUUUGCAUCUGGUAGGCCAUGUAAGAAUUCUUUCGAUAACUCUCACCCAGACUGGGCACCUUCACUACACAUCAGCAAUUCCAUUUUUGACAGGGUUGUACAGAGAAACAUAAGUCGACAUUCCAGAAGGCUUGAAAGGGAAUCAAGAACAUUGGAACAGAU